rnacentral:misc_RNA from 1 species
UUGGAAUGAAAUGGGCUGUUGCUGGGCACUAUAGCCAUGUGCACGCCCUUUUGUCUAUUUCUUUCUCCCUGUGCACCACUUGUAGACUUUGCCUGUCUACGUAUCACAUAAAAAACCUUAUGAAUGCAUCUUUUGUAAUAUUGUAUAUAUAUAUUAU